rnacentral:rRNA from 1 species
AUGAUCUUCAACAAUGAUGGCACAUACGACUCCAUGAGCGAAGAAGAAAUGGAAGCCCUUGAGCACGUGGCCAUGCACCGGCUCGUGAACGAAGAUGAAGAUGAUCAAGUCUUUUGUGACAACGAUUCAAGUCCCUCUCUCAUGGUCUCCAAGGUCUUCACGCUCCAACACCACCAAGAGGAAGACCAACGGUGCCACAUCUUCCACACCAAGGCCGGCAUCAACGGGCGUUCCGUGAAAGUCAUCAUCGACGGAGGAAGUUGUCACAACUUGGCAAGUGAAGAGCUAUGUUCCAAGCUGCAAUUGGUCAAGAAGAAGCAUCCUCGUCCCUACAAGGUCCAAUGGUUAAGCGACUCCGGCACAAUUCAAGUGGAGCAUACGGUGCAAGUUUCCUUCAAGAUCAGCGCCUACGAGGACACCUUGGAGUGCGGCGUGGUUCCUAUGUCCGAGUGCCAUCUUCUCUUGGGAAGACCUUGGCAAUUCGACCGUGGCGUCAUCCACAACGGAAGAACAAACCACUAUAGCUUCAAGAUGAAGGGCAAGGAGUACGUGCUACGACCAAUGUCACCAAGCCAAGUGAUCACUGACAAGCAAGCAUCCACACCUCGUGGAGAUACUAGUGAGAGAGUGCACCACCACAAAGAAAGUGAGCGCCACAAGCCCAAAUUGAGUGACUCUUCGCCAAGAGACAAAAACUUAAUCCUCGUAGCCACAAAAAGAGAGAUGAGAGAAGUGUGUGAGAACCCAUCGAGUGUCAUCCACUAUGUCCUACUAUGCAAAGAUGAGGUGGCAAGAACUAACACUCCUAAUCCUUUUCCUCUAGUGUUCUCUAACUUGUUGCGGGAAUUCACGGAUGUAUUUCCCGAUGAGCUACCUCCCGGACUUCCUCCUCUACGUGACAUUGAACAUCGGAUAGACCUCGUCCCCGGAGUGCCCCUUCCGAACAAGGCUCCAUACCGCGUCAACCCCGAAGAAACUAAGGAGAUCCAACGGCAAGUACAACAACUCAUCGACAACGGUCAUGUACAUGAAAGCUUAAGCCCUUGUGCCGUUCAGGUUAUCCUAGUGCCUAAGAAAGACAGUAGUUUUCGCAUGUGUUCCGAUUGUAGACCCAUCAAUGCUAUCACCAUUCGAUAUAGGCAUCCCAUACCUCGCCUUGAUGAUAUGCUAGAUGAGCUUAGCGGUGCCACUAUUUUCUCAAAAAUUGAUCUCAAAAGUGCUUACUAUCAAAUCCGCAUACAAGAAGGUGAUGAAUGGAAAACCGCUUUUAAAACUAAAUUUGGCUUGUACGAGUGGUUAGUUAUGCCUAUGGGUUUAUCGAAAGCUCCCGGUACUUUCAUGCGUCUUAUGCAUUUCGUGCUUCGUCCAUACAUUGGAGUGUUUGUUGUGGUCUACUUUGAUGAUAUACUUGUUUUUAGCAAAUCCAUCAAAGAUCAUGUAAAUCAUGUUAGGGCCGUUUUGCAAACUCUUCAAAAGGAACGUCUUUAUGCCAACAUGGAAAAAUGCACUUUUGGUGUUGACAAGCUUGUUUUCUUGGGUUUCGUUGUUUCUUCCAAGGGUGUCCAUGUUGACGAGUCAAAAGUUGAAGCAAUUAAAACUACAACCAACUAA